rnacentral:lncRNA from 1 species
UGCUGCUGCUGUUGCUGCUGCGACGCCGAGGACGAGCCGGCGGUCAGGCCGUCCAGCACCUUCCUGAUGUUGAAUUUCCUCAUGGUCUCGGAGGGGCUCCCCCGCAGCCCGGGAGGGGAGGCACAGGGGGUCCCCGGGCGGGGGAGACCACCCGGGGCCGAAGGCAGCUUCGACCGCGGAAACGGAGGAGUGGGAGUGUGAGGGACGAUGUCUUGCAUUUGGAACCUACAAAAUUUUGAUUUGUCGUUUAAUAUUUAUUGAAUUAGUUGAUUCGCUGGGUGCAACGACCAAGAAAACAAAGAGAAAUAUGCAAUGAUGACAUUUCCAAGAAGUGAUGGCAUCUGGCGCUAAGGACAAAGAAUGGGAUUUUGCCACAGGGAUCUUAUUCUCCCACAUGUUCUGUCUGAAGGAGAAAGUUAUCUGAGGCCUUAUAUGAUGCAAAACUUUGGACUCAAAGAAAUUAAAUCACUUGCCCAAGGUUACAUAGCUGCCACCCAGGAGCUUACAAUUUAUGUGAGGAAACAGAUUGUAUACAUAUACAGAUAAUUAAAAAUAUAUAUCAUUGCAUAAUGCAGUAGCCACUGGAUUUGCAGCAGAAACACUCUGCUACAGAACAAGUGUCUUGGUUCACAGCAAAGAGGACAAAGAAAACAGCAAGUUUUAGGGGGUUGAAUCCUGGAUGCCCCUGGCAAACACCAUUCUACUUUCCGUCUCUAUGAAUUUGACUACUCGAAGUACCUCAUGGUGCUUGCCUCUGGAUAAUGCUGACUUCCUCUAGAGUGGUCACCAAGGUGAAAUGUUGGUGCCAAAUGAACUUUUCUGGUUCUUCUGAAGGAAUCAAAGGACUCAGCAGCAUGUCACAGAGGAGGACUGAUGCCACUGUUGCUGGAGAAAUGUCACUGCUAGAGAACAGAAGACUAUUAUUCCAAAGGGUAUUUGAGACUGACUGAAUCAGGUCUGGAACAUUAUUGAAAUGAGACCCACAAAAGAAGAGAUACUGAGUAAUUCAGCAUUUCCAGUGACAUCCUUCUGGCUGUGCUUCAAAGGGAAGAUGACGCUAGAGCUGGCAGCAUGACCAGCACUGUGUAAAUCACCCAGACAGACAACAACACAACAUCCAUGAAUAGAUGGCAGAGUUAGCAAGAAAAAAUAGCUUGGAGGAUGGAAAAACCCCAAAUCGUCAAGUACAUUCACAGGAGUAUGAAUUUAGAAUUAGCAACACGGACCCGUUACACAUGGCAGCACUGUGCAGUGGUUGGAAGUGCAGCCUUCAAAGCCAACUGUUUGGAUUUGGAAUCUUGCUCUUCCAUUUACAAGCUCUGCAACCUUAGGCAAUGCUAAGCCAAUGGGAGGAGUGGAAAGAUCAUCUGAGGAAAAUAGCUGUGCUGGUUGGGGUAGUGGCUGGCUGGAUACUCCAGCUAAGAAAGUAUGGACGCUUCCCCUAGUUUAGAAUGCACUUCAGAUGGAUUCCAAGCUAGAACAAGGUCUAUCUGGAGGUGAAGUCAUGUGACAUGAACUAAUUGGUCCAAACAUGAAAGAAUUCCCAACAUCAAGAUUGAUUGAAACAUAUUCAAUGGGAUGUAGGCUGGUGGCAGAAAGUAGACCCUGGAGAACAGGAGCACUUGGUUUCAAAUAAAAUACCUGCAUUAAAUAUUCAGCUUUCCUGCACCUUUAGCAUUACAUUUGAUUUGCAAAGAAGAUAGAAGUCUUAAGUCACUGUACAAAGAGAAAGAUAUAAAAGUUUAAAAAGAUACAAUGACUUUCCCAUAGCUAACAAGGAGCCAGCAUGGGUCCAAGUUUUGGCAUCGAUUUGGGGAAAAUGCUUUCAAACUCUAAAAUCUUAUAAAGAUGGGGAAAAUAAUUACUAAUAAAGGCCUACUACGGCCUUUUAUAUGAAAUUCUUCUCUAUUCACAGGAUGGGGGGAGGUGAGAUAAGCUAUCUAAAUCAUUUAGGAGGCUCUGAGGUCAGCAGAGGAAGCCUCAUGCCAAAGGAGACGACUUUCACCGGAAAAAGGGACUUACUUUAUCUUUGAACACACAAAUAAAGGCUGCACUAUCAAGUGUAACUGGAUCUUGGUUCAUGCUGAGCUUAAAAUUUGAUCUUCUGAAUAUCAGCAGAAAGACUCUUUCUGGUGAAUACAGAUCUUCUGAGCAAUUAUCGACUGACUUUGUCAUUAGACUGCCCUUUCAGAAGGUACAAAAAAGUUGUCAGUGACAUGAAUCUUUGCUCCCUUCUUCAUGGAAUAUUUCUGAUCUAAUAGCCCCUAUAUUUCAAAAGAUGGAUAUAAACAUCAGAUGAAUAUCACAGGAAAGCUGGAUUGCUCUGCAGUGAGUGAAACGUGGAAAGGCCUUUCCCCACCAAGCAGUAGGCCAAAUUGUAACAGUAAGAUGUAUUUGAAAUAAAAUGGUUCAUAGAUCGGUGGUGACCAGAUGGAUAUAAACGGGCUGUGGAAAAAGAGAAUGCAUGGCCAAAAAUGGUGGUGCUCUCUGUCCAAAAACUGAGGCCCUAUGACCAUGAAUGAAGCCAGAGGGCAGGUAGGAAUAGCACAAAUCUUCUCUAGAAUACAGAAAUAUUCUAGAGAUCACUGACGCAUUUGAGGGAAAUUGAAAACAAAACGAAACAGAACAAACAGAAGCCUUAAACAGUAAAAUAACAGCAAGAUGAAACUGAUUUAAGACAAUCAAAUAACAUCGUUUCCUGUUCAUUCUCCAAACACAAGCUUUCUCUCGCUUUGACAGAAGCAGAAAGACCCGGAGAAGAUCAUUUGCUCCAGAAGAAGCUGGUUGCCAUGUCUUGAGGACAGUAAACCCUCUGGGGAGGUUCCUGUGGUAAGGAACAAGGGCUCCUGGCAAUAGCCUCUGAGUGAGCCACCUUGAAAAUGGAUUGUCCAGCCCCAGUCAAGCUUUCAGAUGACUGUAGCUCCUGCCAAUGUCUUCACCACAACCUCAUGAGAUCCCAAGCUACAACCACUCAGUUAAGUUAUGCCAAAAUUCCUGAUUCACAGAAAUUGACAUACAGGAGAGGUCACAGUUAAGAUCUUGAUGUUCUAUCUUGACCCAUAAUAUAGGAACUUCAUCUUUUGGGAAGCACCAGGGAGAGCUGCCUGUGCCUGGCAGAAGCUGCCCAUGCCCCACUGAUACCCCACAGUACUUCCUGUUCUGCUUAGUACUCCUGCUUCUUUCUACAAACAACUGUGAUUCUCUACCUGGGAGCUUCCUCUGGCCACAGGAGCCUGCUCACCUGAUUGGGACACCCUAGCAGUACUGUGCUUCCUGGAAUCAUCUCCCUCAUCAAUCAUUUGUUCCUAAAUUCUGUCUGAGUCUGUUUCUGAGGAAACCCAACCUGAGUCAUCGUCCCUCUUCUCCCCUCCUCACAUUCUCUUCACUGGGGGAGGAUGGAUUGAGUUGACUGGCAAAUUCGGGAGAAGGAGUUUGCAUCGGAGUGCGUGACUCAGCUGAGGCUGGGCUCUGUUUCUUCAGAAUGAAGUGCAUUCAGAUUCGAUGUGUAUCCUGUCUCUGGGAAGCCCCAUGCUCUGCUCAUCUUAGCAUGAUUACUAAGGUACACUCUGCCCUUGCAAGGGGAAGGCCCGAGAUUUGCUGCUGGCAGGCUCAGUGGGAGUUGGAUGUUUUAUGUAACCUGAUUGUGGAUAUAGAUCAAUUCAUGCUUUUCAAUUCAGUCCUCUCUCUAAUAAACUGCUGUCAUAGGCUCAUAGAUGGAAGGGACUUGCCUUGUCGCUGAUGAGACUUUCGACUUGGACUUUUGAGUCAAUGCUGGAAUGAGUUAAGACUUUGGGGAACUGUUGGAAGGGUGUGAUUGUGUUUUGAAUUGUGAGGACAUGAGAUUUUGAAGAGGCUAAUGGCAGCGUCCCCACCUAAAUCUCUUCUUGAAUUGUAGUUCCCAUAAUCCCCACGUGUCGUGGGGUGGAGCCGGUGGAGAUAAUUGAAUCAUGGGAACACUUUCCCCCAUGCUGUUAUUGUGAUUGUGAAUUCUCACGAGAUCUGAUGGUUGUAUAAACGCCUUCCCUCUUCGCUGGGCACUCAUUUUUCUCCUUCCUGCCACCAUGUGAAGAAGGAUAUGCUUGCUUCUUGUGCCAUGAUUGUAAGUUUCCUGAGGCCUCCCCAGCCAUGCUGAACUGUGAGUCAAUUGAACCUCUUUCCUUUAUAAAUUACCUAGUCUUGGAUAUGUUUUUAUUAGCAGUGUGAGACAGGACUAAUACACAAAGGAUUUGAAAUCACAAAGGAGCUGUUUUCUGCUCCACCAUGGAAGUCUCACAUGCAUCACAUCUAUUCAUAUCCAUUUGCCACAACUAGACAAAAAGUCCUUUUUAAAAUCUGCCUAGAGAUCAGGAAGUAUUAUCUCUGGAUGCCUAGGCAGGAGAGGUGAAUCAGAUAUUGGUGGGCACUAGUGUGUUCUAUGAUACAUAGCUUAAUAAAAAUAAGUUUCAGAUAAAUCUAAAUAUACAUUAGAAUACUGUAACCACAGUAGAAAAAAAUAUUGGCUCCUUUUUGUGAUAAACUAAUGAUGGUAAAUGCACCCUAUUUAAGCAAGAAAAGAAACUGAUCUGCCAUAAAGAAAACAAUGACAUAUUUAACUACAAAAUAUGUUACAAAAUAUUAAUAUCCCUAAUGGACAAAUGAGUUCCAAUAAAUGGAUAACAAAAAACCAAUAAGUCUGUAGAAAAAUGGAGAAAAUAUAUUUGCAGAAUAUUUAUACAGGUGGUAAUGAAAUUGACAAUGAUGUUUAUCAUCAGCAGUAAACAGUAAAAAGUUUCACCCACCAGGACUAUAGAAAUUUUUCAAAUGGAUAAUUUUCAGAAUCAGCAAAGUUAUAGAAAAGUAGGUACCAGUUGCACAUACCAUUGGAGGAAAUGUAAAAUAUAGUUACCUUGUGGAAAGUAAUCUGAUGUAAUAUAUUAAAAUUUUAUCCAUGUAUGUCCUAUAAUUCAGCAAUUCCAUGUUGGGGAAUCCAUACAAAGAAAUACUUAUACACAUGCAGAAGGAGCUAAGUUUAAGAAAGCACACAUUUCAGCGGGUUGUGGUGUCUCACCCCUGUAAUCCCAGCACAUUGGGAGGCCGAGGUUGGUGGAUCACCUGAGGUCAGGAGUUUGAGACCAGCCUGGCCAACAUGGUGAAACCCUGUCUCUACUAAAAAUACAAAAAAUUAGCUGGUGUGGCAGUGGGUGCCUGCAGCUACUCAGGAGGCUGAGGCAGGAGAAUCGCUUGAACCUGGGAGGUGGAGGUUGCAGUGAGCUGAGAUCACACCACUGCACUCCAGCCUGGGUGACAAGAGCGAAAUUCCAUCUGACAAGAACACACUCAGAAAUUUUCUCAACACAGUUUCUAUGCAGAGAAGAGAUGUGGGACAGAUUUGAACUGCUGUCAUAUUUGUAUGAACCCAAGACAUUUUCCAAGACCAAGAGGGAUAAAGACAGCAAUUUCUAUGACUGGCAUUUUACGUGCAUGCACUGUUUCCAAGUGUUCUUGUGUUCUGUGCCUUAAACAUUCUGUGUUGCAACUUUAUGAAUUGAAUUAAAGAUAAUCCCAAGCGGGAAGAAGAGACUGGGUCACGGGAAUGCUUUAAUGUGGAAACCCUGAAUUCGUUCCACACAUCUGCCUUCUGGGGACACAGGUCCAACAUUCUAUAUUAGAUACGUGUGGGGGAAGCAGGUAAAAAACAAGGGACACCAUUGUGGCCAAAGGAACAGGUAAAAAAUAUAAAGUGUCAUAAAUUUGGAACCAUCUCACUUUAACGGCAUGACUAUGAGCUUCCAGAUCAGUGACUCCCUGUUUGCCUUAGUGGUGUAUAAAUUAGAAUCCUAUUUGGAAAAUAAAGCUGUUUCUACUAGAAUAUGAUCCAUGACUUCUGUAAACAUUGUAAAAUAUCAUUGUUGACAAUCUGCCAUCUGGCAUUAUCACAGUCUCUUAAGAAUGUGAAUCUUUUUGUAAAGUCCUGUAAACUGUGUUUUUCAAUAUCUUCACUUGAAGACCAAUAUGAUGGAUUUUUGAUAAUGAUCAUAAGUUUUGAUAUAGCCCCUGACUUUGCAUUCUGGUAGACCAACUGAUGCCACCCAGACCCAUGACCC